CUGAAUAUAGGCCGACAAGGCCAUAUAGUAUCUUAUGUACAUGACAUCUGUCUACGAGCCUCUAAGAAUAUACAAUUUUUAUAAAAGUCGGGACAGAGUCCCGCUAAAUCAAACAAUACACAUAUAAAUCAUACCAACCAAACAAGUAACUCCGAAGCAAAUGGAGCGUACCAAUAUCUUCCGCUGAGCUGAUAGCCUACUUGGAGGGCUCUCGACCUAUCUAUCGGAACCUGCAGGCAUGAAACGCAGCGUCCCCAGGCAAAAAGGGACGUCAUUACGAAUAAUGUACUGAGUAUAUAAGGCACAUAAAUAAGUACAUAACAAACAUAGAGGAAUAUAGAGUAAAUGACUCCACCUGUAAGUCUGAAUAACUUUGUAAAUCAUGAAAUAUUUUAUAGUAUCAUGCAUAUGCGUAUGAAUGUCAUGUCGUGCAUAGGUACAUGUUUCAUAACAUCAUCAGCCUCUGAGAGCAUCCCAUCAUAUCAUUUUAGUCACUAUGGGCAAAAUCAUCAACGUAUACCAGCUGAUCAGGUGGUGGUGCAUAUAUAACGCCAUAAUCUUUCCCAUAUCCCAUAUACAUAUAUAUACAUAUAUACGCGUAUAUAACGUCAUCUGGUCACGAGUCAAUGUACAUGAAUGCAAUGCAUGAAAAGUACGUUAAUAAAAUCUUUCGGAAUGUCAUAAGACCAUUUUGCCUUUGAGUGAUAUCAUAAAGUAAACUCUUUNNNNNNNNNNNNNNUGGAAUNUGNGCAUUUGCACGUUUCGUGCGUAUCGUAUGGAUCAUCCCAAAAGAAAGAAGGGAUAGCCUUAACAUACCUGGAGUAGGAAAAAAUCCGUAUGAUAUUCUUGAAAAAGGUUACAUCGUAUUCUUUUAGAACCGCAAAAUUUUACGUUAGUCAAGAAAAGGACUUCCUUACUUUUCAUUCAUAGUAGUCUUAAUGACUAGUAGUUUGAAGCCUUAAGAAAGCGAUUUUUUUUCGGCACUCGCUUCCUUCGUCUUAAGUCAAGUUCAGUUUACUUUUUCGAUUCGGAACUCUUAGUCGAGUUAAUGGCGAGAUCGAUUUUUUGUUCGAGGUUCAAGAGGAAGGAGAGAAACCAUCGCCCAAUGGUGCUUUUACGAAAGUAUGGUCACCGGUGGCUAAUACCUUCUCGAGACUAUCGAACCUGAAAUCCACUGCUAAAGAUUUAAUAAUCUCGUUGGUUUGAAGAAAUCACAUUGUAGUGUUCUUGGAGGAAUUGUAGGAAUUUGCAAGAAAAUCACGUCUGUUUGUUUGUAAGGAAUCAAAUUAUUUGUAUUGAAAAUCUUGGAAAUUGAGUGUCUUGUACUUAUUAUGCUAAGUUGCCACCUAACUAAAAUUGACUAAGAGUCAUUUGGGCAAAAAGUGGCUUGUUGCCACGUUGGUUUUCUCAUCUUUAUCCAAUUAAUUCUUUAAUUAAUUGGAUAAUACCCAAUUACUCAGUAAUUAACUAAUUAUUUGCACAAUUAAAAAUUAUCUCAACUUACUUAAAAUAUUACUCUCUUUUAACAUACCUUGUACACCUUACUAGCAUGGUCAUGUAGUACCUUGUAUGACACUAGUCCAUAAAUACCAGGUAUUUUAGCUCGGGUCAUAUUUUAUCCCAAAAUGCCAAACUUUGACGAAAAUUCAUUUUCUUUGACUUGCUUCCCCUUUCACCUUCACGAAUUUACUCAUCACUUGUGAAAUAGCAUAAUCCUUGUAAUCUCCAAAUAAUCUUUUACUUGAAUUGAUGUCAAUUAUCUUACGACAAAUUCAAUGUACAAUACUACAUGGUGCAAUAUCGUCGUAACUUAAUACUACAAAGCGUAACAUCACCAUAAUGUAAUACUGUAGGGCGUAACAUCAUCGUAAUAUAAUACUGCAGGACGUAAUAUUAUCGUAAUAUUGCGGGGUGUAACAUAAUCCAUCUCGAGGUCACUACUGCUGAGUAACAUUGGUUUGAUUCACUUGUUUCCUUCAUUUCUCCUUCAUAUUUCUUGAUUAUUAAUUGGUAUUGAACUAAAUCACAUAUAUUUCUUGAUUAUUAAUUGGUAUUUUCGAGGUAAACAGAAAAUAAUACAAAAGAAAAGAGAAAGUUACAAUUUUCUAUUCAAAUCGAACAAAUCAAAAUUAUGGAACCGAUUAAAAUGAAAUAAAAAUAAUAAUAAAUGUAUCAAAUUUAAUUGAGUAUGAUAUUGAUAUAACAUCUUAAGAAACUGAAUAUAGAAAAUAUUAAACCAAAAUAUUUACAAAAUUGGAAUCUGGGCAAAACAUAAAGACGAGCAGCCGUCGGAUGUGGUAUGUGCACAUUAUGACUCUAGAAUAAGAUUCUAGAACCUGCAUCUAGACCUCACUCUUAAAUAUGAGUACAAAUAGCAUUUUUAUACGUUACUUAGGAAUAGUAAUAUAUUUAUUGUUUUCCCUUCGUCCAAACUAUUGGCUCAAAUACGUAAUCCAAGCUCAGCAAAUCUCCGUUUUCGCCCAAUUCAAUCAAUCGCCUCACAUCUUCUAGGUACUUUUUCUAACGGCCAAAUGCAUAGACAACCCCUUAAACUUGUUCUUAUUUUCCAUCUGAAUACUUUAUCUAAGCACAUGACCUAUUGGGCACUUAAAGUUAAUUGAAAGUGCACCAAUUAGAUACAAGAUAUAAGAACAUAAAAUGGGUGUAUCUCACUCGCAUUGACAUGGCACAUAAGCCAAUGAGAACCAAAAACGUGGACAUUUUAAUUACAAAUAAUCAAUUGGAAAAAACUGAAGAUAAAAACCAAACUAUUUUAAAAUCUCAACCCCCAUUUUUGUUUCUUCCCCAAAUAGAGUUUGAAGCUUCCUAUCGGACUUUUCUCCGCUUCUUUUAUUAAUGUCACAAUCUGAAUAUUCCUCCACAACUGAACCUCCAAAUUUUGGAGACCCUACUCCAUUUCUCUUCCAUGAGCCAGCUUCUCCUCUAUCUGAAAAUCACCGUUUUCCACCCCGACCUUUUCGAUUUUUUAGUAUUUCAGUGCAUCUCUUAAAAAAUUAAACAUGGACCAAGAAAUCAUGGACUUUCUAAAAUCUUAAAAAUUAAACUGAUCCAAAAUUUCAAGUUAAAAUAAAUGUUAACAGGGGAGCACCUUGUGACGACGACCAUAACAACGGUGGUGGCAGUUGGCCUAACAACUGUGGUGGUGAUGGUACUCGUUACGGGUCUAUUCGGAGGAAUGGGGAUGGGCAUUUUCGAAGUGACGGUGGAAGUGAAAGCCACAUGUGAGUUGUGAGCUUGAGGUUUAUCACUAUUUGUUUCGGGCUUAUGUGAUGUUGAAGUUGUCACACCUCCUUUUUUACCUACACCCCGAAAGAGGUAUAAGGGGAGUUUUUUCCAAUUUAAAGUGAUAAUCAAAACGGGAUGAUUUUUAAAAAAAAAAAUCAGAAUCGCCACUUGGGAUAAUUUUAUAGUGUCCGAAGUCACCGGUUCAAAUUCCGAAUUGAGGAAAAGAUUGACUCUGUAUUACAGUCCGCGAACACAGAAAUCCGGGUAAGGAACCCUGUUAACCCGAGAGAAGGUGUUAGGCAUUCCCGAGUUCUGUGGUUCUAGCACGGUCGCUCAACUAUUAUAAUUGGCCUAUUAUCUGAUUUUAAUACAUGUUUUAACAUAUGGUGCAAUUUUAGCUUUAUAACCGCUUUUAUUUAAUUAUUUUUAGGAAGAUUCAACGUCACAUAAAACGCGUUUUGAACCACGUCACAUAAAUGCACCCGCGGUCCACAACACAUUUUAUCUAACAUUGUUGAGAUUUGGAUUUGGGUCACAUAACUGCGCACCCGAAUUUUGGAAAGUAAUUUUUAAAAUAGCGUGUCUAAAGCAAGCUACGAUGUUUAUGAAUAUUGACGGCCUAAUCAUACUUCUAACGAUCCAAAAUCAAAUCAACAAGCAAGAUCUAAACAAUAUACAACUCCAAUCGUUACAAAAUUACUAAGUUGUAAUAGUUUUGUAAAAUAGCACCUCCGACUAAACUCAUUAUGGGUCACCUGCUCACUUCGUUGUUAAUCUCCAAAAUUUGAAGCUUAAAGUCGAAGUAUACAUUGUGUGAAACCAACCAGAUUAACCAAUAUUCCGAUGCAAUUACUGAUCUUUUCCCUAAACAUACAUGGCAUGACCAUUGAAAGUAAACUCAUAAGAGAAAUCAAACAAAUAAUUCAAGUAUUCAUGACACAAAUUCUGCAAAGUAGAAAGAAGAAUGAAGUUCAAAGUGUGACCUCUAACGGGCAGCAACUGCACUAGAUUAAAGCGUCAACCGGAAUUACAAUGGAGAAGACGACUUCCAAAAAUAGAACAUCAGCAAGAACAACUAUCGGACCUUUGAACUAAAUGGAACCGGUGAACGGGCCUCGACAAGGAACCAAGGGAAACGGUCAUCGAAACUUAGUCAUCGAAGCUCAACCAGAAACUCGAGCCUCGCCGGAAAAGGGUGUUAAACGAGUUUUGCAACUCCUCACUGUUUUCAGCGCCUUUGUUCGUUAGCUCUAGAGCUCGAAAGUUGUCAUCGGACUCUCAGCCAGCUCUAGUGAUGAAGAAGCUGGUUUGGCCGCUUGAAGAAGGGGUCGCGUCUGGAACUCGUUAAUCUGACGAGCUGGUGGAGCUCGUUUUUCCGGCGAGUUUCAGGCAGAGAUGGGGUCGUUUGAUCGUUAACGUUCAGGGGUCGUUGGCGUUUUUCCGACGUGCAUAGGUUGUUCCAGGUUUGGGGCUAUUGGUAUAUGUGGUUGAUGAAGAGAGCAGGGAUGUUGUUUGGUUUGUCUCGCGAAGAAGAUGAAGUUAUGGAAGGGGUCGUUGGAGAAGAUGGAGUCGGGGAGGGGGGUAAGGGUCGUUCCUUAUUGAAAAAAGCUGCGCAGUUUUUUGAUCCGAUCCUUUUUAGUGUUCUCUUCCUUUUUU
rnacentral:lncRNA from 1 species